UCAAGCAACCACCGCACUUGCAAUUCUAUAUAGCAAACACUGCCUGCCACUUCCUUUUCAGACUUCAACUGCAAAAAAUUACCAACAAAUUAAUCAAAUUUUCUUAUGGCACCCAUCACCAACCUCGUCUGCUUCCUUUUCACUCACUUUGGUUUUCUCUGGACACCCACGUUGCUCCACAACUUCAGGUAUGAAAACCUCAUUGAGCUUGAGCGAUAUACAUUCCAAAGUUACAGCUACCAGCAUUUAAUUGUUGUUCAAACUUAAUCAAGACAUAUAUGUGUGUGUUCAUAUGUAUACAUGCUCAAAGAAUCAAAGUUCCACAUGACCGGCUGUGUUUGAUCGCCGUCGAUGAAGUGAUCAUGAAGGCCGUUCAUCGGUUUUGGAGCUGCAGAUAGUGUUGUGAUCGUAGCAAAACAUCACUGUAAAUAUACUGUUAUGAUCAAGAUAAAUAAUUGUACACAACGUGGCAUUCAUUUCUGUUGUCAUAUGGUGCAUUGCAAUGUAGUUUUUAACUUUGUUUUUGUGGGUCUUAUUAUUUGCUUUAAUUGGGAUUGAUAUUAAAUGUAACAACUUUUUAUUUAGUACGAUAUUCUACACUAAUCGCUAGGAAGAGAAAGAGUUUAAAUCCGAAAUACAAUGAGUUGAAGAUAAAAACUUUAACUGCUGGAGCAAUA